rnacentral:rRNA from 1 species
GACGAACGCUGGCGGCGUGCUUAACACAUGCAAGUCGAACGGAAAGGCCCUGCUUUUGUGGGUUGCUCGAUUGGCGAACGGGUGAGUAACACGUGAGUAACCUGCCCUUGACUUUGGGAUAACUUCAGGAAACUGGGGCUCAUACCGGAUAGGAGCUCCUGCUGCAUGGUGGGGGUUGGAAAGUUUCGGCGGUUGGGGAUGGACUCGAGGCUUAUCAGCUUGUUGGUGUGGUAGUGGCUUACCAAGGCUUUGACGGGUAGCCGGCCUGAGAGGGUGACCGGCCACAUUGGGACUGAGAUACGGCGCAGACUCCUACGGGAGGCAGCAGGGGGGAAUAUUGCAGAAUGGGCGGAAGCCUGAGGCAGCAACGCCGCGUGCGGGAUGACGGCCUUCGGGUGGUAAACCGCUUUCGCCUGUGACGAAGCGUGAGUGACGGUAAUGGGUAAAGAAGCACCGGCUAACUACGUG